GUGCCAGCCGCCGCGGUAAUACGUAGGGUCCAAGCGUUAUCCGGAUUCACUGGGUUUAAAGGGUGCGUAGGCGGCUCAAUAAGUCAGUGGUGAAAGCCUACGGCUUAACCGUAGAAUUGCCAUUGAAACUGUUAAGCUUGAGUACAAUCGAGGCAAGUGGAACGCAGCAUGUAGCGGUGAAAUGCUUAGAUAUGCUGCAGAACACCAAUUGCGAAGGCAGCUUGCUAGGUUGUUACUGACGCUGAGGCACGAAAGCGUGGGGAGCGAACAGGAUUAGAUACCCGGGUAGUCC
rnacentral:rRNA from 1 species